CAAGCCCAUCACUUGAGGUAGGGAUGACAGUAGCUUACCAGUUACUUCUUUGAACUCUCUCUCUCUCUUUCUCGUGGUGGGGGUUUAAGACUUCAGAGCUCAAAAACAUGCAGCAGCUGAAGCUUUCUGCCCGUCUCAUAAAAUCUCUGCCAAUCUCUUCACUGCCAUCCACCCCCUCCUCCACCCUUCAACAAAUUGCUUCUUCUCACUCUAAAGGAAUUGCAAAGGUUGUGUUAAAAAAGGGAAAGACACAACUUUUCAAGGAUGGAAGUCCAAUGGUGUAUAGCGGAGCAGUCGAUAGAAUAAUUGGUAGACCGCCACCCAAGACAGGAGACAUUGUGCUGGUUGCUGAUGGAACAGAGAAACCUAUAGGGUGGGGAUUGUAUAAUUCAGUUUCCAUGUUCUGUGUUAGGCUCAUGCAGCUAGAAGAGGAAGCAACGAGAGAUCCUUCUUGUGCAUUGGACAUGAAGAAACUGCUUGAAACAAGAACUAACGCAGCCAUAGAAUUACGGAGGAGGUUGGGUCUACCCUCAUCUCAUACAAAUGCAUAUCGCCUUGUCAAUAGUGAAGGAGACAGAUUAUCUGGAUUAAUUGUUGAUGUCUUCGGGGAUUUAGCUGUGAUAGCAUCAUCUGCUGCUUGGGUUGAGAAUUACAAACCAGAAGUAGAGGCUUGCAUCAAUAGAAUUGAUGGAAUUAACCAUAUAAACUGGAGACCAUCUGUUGAUAUUUUAAAAGAAGAAGGAAUGGAUGUGUCAGACAUGAAAGAAGUGCAUCCCUCUACUUGCCCUGAAAGAAUAAAGGUUAUGGAAAACGGGAUCUCCUAUGCAAUUUCAUUGGUGGGCCAGAAGACUGGAUUUUAUGCUGACCAGCGUGAAAACCGCCAGUUCAUAUCUACAAUUUCAAAUAGCCAGAAAGUUCUUGAUAUUUGCUGCUACAGCGGUGGUUUUGCUCUAAAUGCUGCACAUGGAGGCGCAAUAGAUGUCACAGGAGUCGAUACAUCUAUGCCUGCUUUGGAGCUUGCUAGAGAAAAUAUUGUUCUUAACAACCUGGAUCCAGGAAGAAUAUCAUUUUUGAGAGAAGAUGCCACUCAAUUUAUGAAGGGUGCCCUUUCUAGAAAUGAAUCAUGGGAUAUAGUGAUUUUGGACCCUCCUAAAUUAGCACCGAGAAAAAAGGUUCUUCAAAAUGCAUCAGGCAUGUAUAGAAAUAUGAAUUCGAUGGCAUUGAGAUUAACAAAGAGAGGUGGCCUUCUCAUGACUUGCUCUUGUUCAGGAGCUAUGACCCAAAGUGGGAUGUUCUUGCGUGUUCUUCAGGCAAGAAUUUUUUUUUUCACGUGUGUAUGGGAACAAAGAACUAAUUUUGGCGGUUUGACCACAUUGCAGAGAAUAUUGGAGAUAUUUUAAACUGUCAUCGUCAGCAAAAUACAUGGACACGGGCUUUAAUAUGAGAAAUGGAAAUUUAAUCACAUUACACUUGGGAGUUUGGCCAUGAAGAUUAGGGUGCUGCAUCAAUGGCAGGAAGGAAAAUCUCUGUUCUGCGAGAGGCUGGAGCAGCUUCAGACCAUCCUAUAGAUCCAUCCUACCCAGAAGGGGCGUACCUUUCCAACAUUUUACUAAGAGUAUUAUAGAUGUUAAAAAAACAAUGUAGACAAACAAAAAAUGCUAAGUCUAUAAUGUUGAAGCGAGUGAAGUUUUCGGGAAACAAAUAAUAAAAUAUUGUAUUCAAUACUAA